GUUGCCUCGGCGGGAACAGACGGCCCCGUAACACGGGCCGCCCCCGCCAGAGGACCCCCUAACUCUGUUUCUAUAAUGUUUCUUCUGAGUAAACAAGCAAAUAAAUUAAAACUUUCAACAACGGAUCUCUUGGCUCUGGCAUCGAUGAAGAACGCAGCGAAAUGCGAUAAGUAAUGUGAAUUGCAGAAUUCAGUGAAUCAUCGAAUCUUUGAACGCACAUUGCGCCCGCCAGUAUUCUGGCGGGCAUGCCUGUUCGAGCGUCAUUACAACCCUCAGGCCCCCGGGCCUGGCGUUGGGGAUCGGCGGAAGCCCCCUGCGGGCACAACGCCGUCCCCCAAAUACAGUGGCGGUCCCGCCGCAGCUUCCAUUGCGUAGUAGCUAACACCUCGCAACUGGAGAGCGGCGCGGCCACGCCGUAAAACACCCAACUUCUGAAUGUUGACCUCGAAUCAGGUAGGAAUACCCGCUGAACUUAAGCAUAUCAAUA
rnacentral:rRNA from 1 species